rnacentral:lncRNA from 1 species
UGCUCUUUAGGGUCUGACUUCUAAACAUCUUUUUGAGGCUGAAAUUACGAACAGGCGUGCCAAGCUCGCGUGGAAAUUCCCUGUUAUCAAUACGCCGCUGCCUCGUAAACGGCGACUUGCAGCUCUCCUCCGGGGAGCUGGCUGGGCCCCGUGCCCCUGGGACAGGCUCUGCUCUUUUUGACGGCAGGGCUAUUAAUGGAAUAGAGAGGGGUUUUUGUUUGUUUGUUUGUUUGUUUUCAUUUCUACCUCGCCCGAGUGCCUGUUGGCCCUUCUUUUGUCCUUGUUCUCUUGCUGUUUAUACUGCUGAAGAUUUUCGCUCUUUAAUUGCCUUCGCUAGGUCCAACUAACUCGGCUUUAACAAUUCUCAUCUCCAGCUUUCGAAGACCAGGGGCUGAAUGAACUCCAGAGCAGCACAGAUGGAGUACAGGCAGGAGGAUUCGAGGGACAGCAGCUUUUCUCUGCCAGAGGAGAACUCAUCCAAGGCACAAAUGGCAGAUGCAUUCCACCUUCACUGUCCUCAAACUGAAGCAAGGAGUUUCAUGUGGAAGUUAAGUUCAUCUUUUCUGAACAAGGAUGAAGUUGCUGUCCUCUGCUGGCCCUCUCUCGUUUUGAUGCACAUGAUCAUCACUGCAGUUACGUUUUUGGCCCAAGCGCACAAGUAG